AACAAACGCUGGCGGCGUGCCUAAUACAUGCAAGUCGAACGGGGAAAGUCUUCGGAUGAGUACUAGUGGCGCACGGGUGAGGAACACGUAGAUAAUCUGCCCCUAGGCGGGGAAUAACUGGUCGAAAGAUCAGCUAAUACCGCAUAAGACCACGACUUCUGAGGAAGAUGGGGUUAAAGGCUUCGGCCACCUAGGGAUGAGUCUGCGUCCGAUUAGCUAGUUGGUGAGGUAAGUGCACACCAAGGCGACGAUCGGUAACUGGUCUGAGAGGAUGACCAGUCACACUGGGACUGAGACACGGCCCAGACUCCUACGGGAGGCAGCAGUAGGGAAUAUUGCACAAUGGAGGAAACUCUGAUGCAGCGACGCCGCGUGAGUGAUGAAGGCCCUCGGGUUGUAAAGCUCUGUUCUUAGGGAAUAAAAAAAUGAAGGUACCUAAGGAGAAAGGACCGGCUAACUUCGUGCCAGCCGCCGCAGUAA
rnacentral:rRNA from 1 species